GAUGAACGCUGGCGGCGUGCUUAACACAUGCAAGUCGAACGAUGAAGCCCAGCUUGCUGGGUGGAUUAGUGGCGAACGGGUGAGUAACACGUGAGUAACCUGCCCUUAACUCUGGGAUAAGCCUGGGAAACUGGGUCUAAUACCGGAUAGGAGCGUCCACCGCAUGGUGGGUGUUGGAAAGAUUUAUCGGUUUUGGAUGGACUCGCGACCUAUCAGCUUGUUGGUGAGGUAAUGGCUCACCAAGGCGACGACGGGUAGCCGGCCUGAGAGGGUGACCGGCCACACUGGGACUGAGACACGGCCCAGACUCCUACGGGAGGCAGCAGUGGGGAAUAUUGCACAAUGGGCGCAAGCCUGAUGCAGCGACGCCGCGUGAGGGAUGACGGCCUUCGGGUUGUAAACCUCUUUCAGUAGGGAAGAAGCGAAAGUGACGGUACCUGCAGAAGAAGCACCGGCUAACUACGUG
rnacentral:rRNA from 1 species